rnacentral:rRNA from 1 species
AAAUUGAAGAGUUUGAUCAUGGCUCAGAUUGAACGCUGGCGGCAGGCCUAACACAUGCAAGUCGAACGGUAACAGGAAGCAGCUUGCUGCUUUGCUGACGAGUGGCGGACGGGUGAGUAAUGUCUGGGAAACUGCCUGAUGGAGGGGGAUAACUACUGGAAACGGUAGCUAAUACCGCAUAACGUCGCAAGACCAAAGAGGGGGACCUUAGGGCCUCUUGCCAUCGGAUGUGCCCAGAUGGGAUUAGCUAGUAGGUGGGGUAACGGCUCACCUAGGCGACGAUCCCUAGCUGGUCUGAGAGGAUGACCAGCCACACUGGAACUGAGACACGGUCCAGACUCCUACGGGAGGCAGCAGUGGGGAAUAUUGCACAAUGGGCGCAAGCCUGAUG